GCGGGUAUAGCUCAAUGGUAGAGCUCUAGUCUUCCAAACUAGCGACACGGGUUCGAUUCCCGUUACCCGCUCCA
rnacentral:tRNA from 1 species